UUGAAUUUACAUCAUGAUUUGCAAGAGAGAGAAAAAUCAAUUGCAAAACAUAGUUGUUGCACUUAUUCUAAAGAAUAGCACUAGUAUCUUGGGGUCCAUUGCAGAUGUAAUGGUCGACCCAUCCAUCAACAUAGGCUCAAUGCCUUGGGACUCGACCGAUAUGAUAUACUACGGUAUUAACCAAAAUCUAAAACAGUAAGCCUGAUGGCUUGUGUUCAUGUAGUAUUAAGUGUGAUGACUUGUGUUCAUGUUGUCAAAAAAAAAGCGUGAUGACUAGUUUGCCAAUAAAAGAAACUAGAAGGGCUUAGUCUCAAAUGGCCGAAGAGAUAAGGUCUCCUAUCGUCAUCCUCAAUGCAUCUGGAAUCAAUCGAUUUGUUCGGUAUUCACAUAGAGCACCGGCACCGCCGCUGCGUACCAUAGUGUAACUGGGAGAAGGAGAGGCCGGGGGUGGCGCCAGAGGGCUUGCUCGUCCAACGCCGCGCGCCGGAGGGCGCUGCCUGGCGUCGCUGCGUCCCGGGCCGCUGCGUCGACGUUGCUGUAGUGUCGUGGGCUGGUCGUGGCUACCGGUGCCGCCGCGGUGGAGAUCGCCGUUCUAGGCGCCGGCCAUUGGUUACCCCGAGGACACGCCGCCUGUACUGGAGGGUAUGCCGCGCCGUGGUCGUGCUCCGCCUGAGGGAGGAGCGCCGCAUCGAAUGCUGCAUCCGAGAGGUGGAGGACGCCGUCGUCGCCAAACGACGAGAAGCAUGUCCAUUGAUUACUGCCGUGGACGGGAAUAUGGCUAAUCGAAUCGGCGGCAUUCUUCUCUUCUCCUGUGGUCAUUUCUCAGCGGAGAGCAAAAGUGCUGAUAACGUGUUUAGAGAGAAACGAGAGAGGGAGAGCAAAUGAUGGAAAGGAUAUUCUCAUUGAUUGAAGAUUGGGUAUAUAUACCCUAGUACAAGGCGGUUUACAAGGAGCGGUUACCAAACUGUGGAACCGACAUAGCAGUGAUUAUUAACUAAUAAUUAUUCUAAUUAAUUAUUUCCUAACAAAGUCGUCACCCACUGAUGUUUUAGGAGUGAUGCAGGGAAAUCAUGGGAAGAAGCAGAUUGGAUCUCGCUUCUUCAAUUACCAACAAGUGCUAGAUUGGGACGUGGAUGGAGAAAGACGCGUUCACAUCACAUAUAACAUAUUUAUAAAGCAAUUUUCAAUGAUUAUGGCCUUUUGGAUCUCGGCCUCGACGGAGGCCGAAUUUUUGAAAAAUUCAAAAUUUCAGUUUCAAAAAAUCUGAAAAAAUGUGUACAAGUAAACAAGAAUGUGAGGUGUAUGUGUGUAAAAUUUCAGAAUGAAAUGCGUUGAUAUGCGACCUGUAAAAAAAAAGACAAAUUCAUGGUCUGGGAGUUUGAAAUAGUAUAAUGUGUUAAAAAGCCUUAGAUUUGUUUUCUUA